rnacentral:rRNA from 1 species
GAUGAACGCUGGCGGCGUGCCUAAUACAUGCAAGUCGAGCGAACGGACGAGAAGCUUGCUUUUCUGAUGUUAGCGGCGGACGGGUGAGUAACACGUGGAUAACCUACCUAUAAGACUGGGAUAACUUCGGGAAACCGGAGCUAAUACCGGAUAAUAUUUUGAACCGCAUGGUUCAAAAGUGAAAGACGGUCUUGCUGUCACUUAUAGAUGGAUCCGCGCUGCAUUAGCUAGUUGGUAUGGUAACGGCUUACCAAGGCAACGAUGCAUAGCCGACCUGAGAGGGGGAUCGGGCAAAAGGGAAAUGGAGAAAGGGCCCAAAUCCUAAGGGGGGGCAGAGUAGGGAAACUUCCGGAAAGGGGGAAAGCCUGAAGGGGAAAAGGCGGGGGAGGGAUGAAGGGAUUCGGAUCGGAAAAACCUGUUAUUAGGGAAAAAAAAAUGUGGAAGUAAAUAGGCAAGACUUGAAGGUACCUAAUCAGAAAACCACGGCUAAAUAAGUG